UAGUAGAGUUACGUAAUUUUGUGCCUGU
rnacentral:piRNA from 1 species